UCCCUAUCCCAUCUGUCCAAUGUGCAACCAACAAACAGUAGGAAGGAACUGUUGUGGAGGUGGUGUCAGAGUUUGCAUUUUGCCAUGUAGAAGUACUCUACACUUUAAUUUUCUCUGGAUGGAACUGGAGAUCAUCAUGCUAAAUGACAGAAAGAAGAGCAGGAAUCCAUUUCAAGCUAAAGAGGGAAAUUCAACCUGGACUAUCUUUCUCUUUCACGAAAAUUAACAGAGUGCCAAUGGAGCCCUUUAUCUAUUGAGUGCAGGAUUCAUUAAUUAAUCCUUUUUAUCUGUGACAGUUAAAGGAUCCAAUUCAAGAUACCACAUUGCAUUUAGUUAUCAUACCUUCCUAAUCUCCUGGGAUCUGUGAGAAUUUUUCAGUCUUUCAUCAGCUCAACAAUUUCAAGAGCACUG